rnacentral:rRNA from 1 species
ACACAUGCAAGUCGAGGGGCAGCAUUUUAGUUUGCUUGCAAACUAAAGAUGGCGACCGGCGCACGGAUGAGUAACACGUAUCCAACCUGCCGAUAACUCGGGGAUAGCCUUUCGAAAGAAAGAUUAAUAUCCGAUAGUAUAUUAAAACCGCAUGGUUUUACUAUUAAAGAAUUUCGGUUAUCGAUGGGGAUGCGUUCCAUUAGUUUGUUGGCGGGGUAACGGCCCACCAAGACUACGAUGGAUAGGGGUUCUGAGAGGAAGGUCCCCCACAUUGGAACUGAGACACGGUCCAAACUCCUACGGGAGGCAGCAGUGAGGAAUAUUGGUCAAUGGACGAGAGUCUGAACCAGCCAAGUAGCGUGAAGGAUGACUGCCCUAUGGGUUGUAAACUUCUUUUAUAUGGGAAUAAAGUAUUCCACGUGUGGGAUUUUGUAUGUACCAUAUGAAUAAGGAUCGGCUAACUCCGUGCCAGCAGCCGCGGUAAUACGGAGGAUCCGAGCGUUAUCCGGAUUUAUUGGGUUUAAAGGGAGCGUAGGUGGAUUGUUAAGUCAGUUGUGAAAGUUUGCGGCUCAACCGUAAAAUUGCAGUUGAAACUGGCAGUCUUGAGUACAGUAGAGGUGGGCGGAAUUCGUGGUGUAGCGGUGAAAUGCUUAGAUAUCACGAAGAACUCCGAUUGCGAAGGCAGCUCACUAGACUGCAACUGACACUGAUGCUCGAAAGUGUGG